rnacentral:sRNA from 16 species
GGUACGGCCGGAGGCUUGCGACCGAUGUCGCAACAUCCCGUGGCAGGGACGUGCCAUACAUUACACCUCACAGAGUGGAGA